rnacentral:rRNA from 1 species
UACGAGGGGGGCGAGCGUUGUUCGGAAUUAUUGGGCGUAAAGGGCGCGUAGGCGGUCGGAUAAGUCUUGUGUGAAAUCUUCGGGCUCAACUCGAAGUCUGCACAGGAAACUAUCUGGCUUGAGUGUGGGAGAGGUGAGUGGAAUUCCUGGUGUAGCGGUGAAAUGCGUAGAUAUCAGGAGGAACACCUGUGGCGAAAGCGGCUCACUGGACCACAACUGACGCUGAGGCGUGAAAGCUAGGGGAGCAAACAGG